rnacentral:miRNA from 1 species
AGUGGCCUGGCCAAUUAGUUCGUUUGGGUUUUUCCAUAAGAUGUAAUGGAAAAACUUGAAUGAACUUUUUGGGCAACCCAG